rnacentral:rRNA from 1 species
GAUGAACGCUGGCGGCGUGCCUAAUACAUGCAAGUCGAGCGAACAGAUAAGGAGCUUGCUCCUUUGACGUUAGCGGCGGACGGGUGAGUAACACGUGGGUAACCUACCUAUAAGACUGGAAUAACUCCGGGAAACCGGGGCUAAUGCCGGAUAACAUUUAGAACCGCAUGGUUCUAAAGUGAAAGAUGGUUUUGCUAUCACUUAUAGAUGGACCCGCGCCGUAUUAGCUAGUUGGUAAGGUAACGGCUUACCAAGGCAACGAUACGUAGCCGACCUGAGAGGGUGAUCGGCCACACUGGGACUGAGACACGGUCCAGACUCCUACGGGAGGCAGCAGUAGGGAAUCUUCCGCAAUGGGCGAAAGCCUGACGGAGCAACGCCGCGUGAGUGAUGAAGGUCUUCGGAUCGUAAAACUCUGUUAUUAGGGAAGAACAAAUGUGUAAGUAACUGUGCACGUCUUGACGGUACCUAAUCAGAAAGCCACGGCUAACUACGUG